CCAGCUCUCUUUGCCUUUUGGCUGAGAUCAAGUGAAGUAACUGUUCUUUUUAGUUUAACCUCUAGAAGGCCCCUACGGGAGCAUCUCCAGAUUGAACCGGUUUUUUGGAACCCGGUUGGCGGCCGCUGGGCUCCGCCUAUUGUCGCUGACCACAGUGUCGCUCGUAUUGCACUGUUUCGGGCUGACGCGAACCACC
rnacentral:snRNA from 1 species